GGCUCCCCUGCAUCGGCAGGCGGACGCGCAACCACUGCGCCACCAGGGAAGCCCUAAAAGUGCCUUUUGAGUGAUACUUUAUCAUUUAACAAAGAUGAACGUUUAUUCCUAUACAGAGACAAAUUCCCUUGGAGGGUAAACUCAAGAAACGUUAUGUUUCGGAACUCUAUGUAGGGGAAGAUAGGUAAAGGUGAGGAGAGCAGGCUAAGUUUGGAAAGAUGCAGUGAAACCCAUUCGAACAGGCCAUUCUUACACUGAUCCUCCAGAAGGCAGAGGACAUGACAGUAAAUCAAAACCAACUGAAGUUAUUUCAGCAGAGGGCUGAGAUGAAAUGGUCCAGAUGCUUCUCUUCAAAUGAUCUAACUUACUGCAAAUAGAGAUCGACUUGUCUUAGACUCCUUCUUGUAUAUCAAAUUUCUAAAAAUUAGCUACAACACUUUAAAAACCUGACCCCUACAGCUUUUCAAGUUGUCAUUAUCAGAUUAUCCUCUGAGAGUGUGUUUGUAUGUACAUGUGUGUACCUGUCACUUAUUUUAAAUAAAAUAUUUGAGGGCUACUGGGUGCUCAGCUCUGUGCUAACAGGGUGGAAAUGGGAGGAUUCAAGGCCACAUCUCGGCCCUCAAGGAGUACAACCACCAGCUGAGUAAAAUUACUAUUUGUCAGGCACUGUGCUAACUGCUUUACAUUUAUUUCCUCAUUUAAUUUUAUCCACAAUGAUCCUAUGGGCUAAGUAUCAUCAAUGGAUUUUCCAAAUUAGGAAACCAAAGUUAAAUGGCUAAGCAACUUGACUCAGCUCACACAAGCAGCAUGCAACAGCUGGGAUUCACACCUAGGUCUUCCUCAUUGCAAAACUACGCUCUUAACCCACAGCACAAACAUCCCGUAAGAGUGGACAGUACAAGACAGUACGUUAGAGUGAAGAGCUCAGUGCUGGGAUGCAGAGCUGAGUGCCUCCGGAUUCUGGGGAAGCCAAAGAAGGCACAUGGUGUGAGGAUGAGGAUGAGCCAUCACACGCUGCUGUCACUCAUUGAACUGAAGCGAGAGAGGAUGACACGGGGAAAGCUACAGGAGCCUGGAACUCCCAAACCUAUUUGGAAGCUUUAAGGGCACCUCGACUAGGAGGAUGAGUGAGUUGCGAUUUGCCUGUGACGGCAACACCAUCCUUCCCCCUAGAAGCCAUCCCCCACUCCUGCACCUCUCACCCUUGGACCACAGUCGCCCAGGAAAAGCGGAAAGGAAUUGGGAUACUUAUCCUGGGAGACAGGAAGCAAAAAGGAGAAAGGGGGUGAAGAUGAAAGAAUUUUGAGGUUCAAGAGAGAUAUACUGACAGAGUUCACAAAGGGGACCAUGUUUCUCAGCGAGGCAAUGGGACCAUUUCAAGACUUCCCACUGUAAUGACCAAUUCUGGAAAAGUUGCCUUUUUCUCUUACUGAGGACAUGGAAUCCCAUCUCUAUGGUCAUACAGGAUAACUCAAAGCCAACCUUGAUUUUACAGCACUUUGCAAACUCUGCAGGACUGUUUCAGUGCCUCCGCCUUUGCGAUCUCCCAUAUUUAAACUACGCACAUGAUGAGGUAACACAAUUUUACAAAUAC